ACGGGGCUGGCGAGCAGGCGGGUACGGGCCGGGUCGGCGGCCCGGCGGGCCCAGUACAGGCCCUUGACCGCGAGGUUGUCGGCCUCGGUGCCGCCC
rnacentral:tRNA from 1 species